rnacentral:tRNA from 5 species
GGAGGGGUUCCCGAGUGGCCAAAGGGAUCAGACUGUAAAUCUGACGGUUCAUCCUUCGGAGGUUCGAAUCCUCCCCCCUCCACCA